rnacentral:rRNA from 1 species
UGGGGAAUUUUGCGCAAUGGGCGAAAGCCUGAUCCAGCAAUGCCGCGUGCAGGAUGAAGGCCUUCGGGUUGUAAACUGCUUUUGUACGGAGCGAAACGGCUUCUCCUAAUACGAGGAGCUAAUGACGGUACCGUAAGAAUAAGCACCGGCUAACUACGUGCCAGCAGCCGCGGUAAUACGUAGGGUGCAAGCGUUAAUCGGAAUUACUGGGCGUAAAGCGUGCGCAGGCGGUUAUAUAAGACAGAUGUGAAAUCCCUGGGCUCAACCUAGGAACUGCAUCUGUGACUGUAUAGCUAGAGUACGGUAGAGGGGGAUGGAAUUCCGCGUGUAGCAGUGAAAUGCGCAGAUAUGCGGAGGAACACCGAUGGCGAAGGCAAUCCCCUGGACCUGUACUGACGCUCAUGCACGAAAGCGUGGGGAGCAAACAGGAUUAGAUACCCCCGUAGUCCCUGAGCGGGCUGGCAAGGCGCAU